GAUGAACGCUGGCGGCGUGCCUAAUACAUGCAAGUCGAGCGAACGGACGAGAAGCUUGCUUCUCUGAUGUUAGCGGCGGACGGGUGAGUAACACGUGGAUAACCUACCUAUAAGACUGAGAUAACUUCGGGAAACCGGAGCUAAUACCGGAUAAUAUUUUGAACCGCAUGGUUCAAAAGUUAAAUACGGUCUUGCUGCCACUUAUUGAUGGUUCCGCGCUGCAUUAGCUAGUUGGUAAGGUAACGGCUUACCAAGGCAACGAUGCAUAGCCGACCUGAGAGGGUGAUCGGCCACACUGGAACUGAGACACGGUCCAGCCUCCUACGGGAGGCAGCAGUAGGGAAUCUUGCGCAAUGGGCGAAAGCCUGCCGGAGCACCGCGCCGUGGUUGAUGAAGGUCUUCGGAUCGUAAACCUCUGUUAUUAGGGAAGAACAUAUGUGUAAGUAACUGUGCACAUCUUGACGGUACCUAAUCAGAAAGCCACGGCUAACUACGUG
rnacentral:rRNA from 1 species